rnacentral:tRNA from 1 species
GGCUGUGUGGUCUAGUGGUAUGAUUCGCGCUUCGGGUGCUCGAGAUCCCGAACUCGAUCCUCGGCUCAGCCC